rnacentral:rRNA from 1 species
AUGCCGCUGAUGCCUCCUCCACCUCCACCUCCAAGCGCUGGCGACCUUCUUCCUCCCCCGGCGCUUGUCCUCUCCGCUCGCUGCCUUCCAAGAGUGCCGCUACCGUUGGCGACCAGACCAGCAGAGGAACGCCGCCGGCAGAGGAUGAGGAGUCCUUCCUUCUCCACCAUGAAGCACUCCUCCUUCCACUCCUCGCCGCCGAAGUCGGAUGCGUGCGGAGAUGCAGUUGAAGGAAAGGGGCGGGCCUCAAGGCCGGACCUCAAGGAGAUGCAGCACCGGAACAUCAUCAGGCUGCAGGACGUGGUGCAUAACGAGAAGAGGGAGGGCGCCAUGCCGAAGAAGGAGGGACCUUGCGGCCAUUGCGGAGUCACAAGUGAAGUGCGAAUCCAUGUUCGAAGCUGUGAAGCAUAUCGACAAAGAGUAGCAUAUUAUGUGUUGUAA